GGAUUAGAUACCCUGGUAGUCCACGCCGUAAACGAUGAUUACUCGUUAUUUAUGCGAUAUAGUAUAAGUGACCAAGCGAAAGCGUUAAGUAAUCCACCUGGGAAGUACGGUCGCAAGGCUGAAACUCAAAGGAAUUGGCGGGGGUCCGCACAAGCGGUGGAGUAUGUGGUUUAAUUCGAUGAUAAGCGAGGAACCUUACCUGGAUUCAAUUCAAUCUGACAGACUUAGAGAUAGGUUUUUCUUCGGACAGAUUGGAAGGUGCUGCAUGGUUGUCGUCAGCUCGUGCCG
rnacentral:rRNA from 1 species